GAAUGAGAGGUCCUGUAGUACUUUAACGUCUUUGCCACUAUGUGUCUGGAAGUGUACCAAGGCAGAGGCCAUUGAAAAUCCUCCCGGUCAACAGAAGGCAACAAACCCACACCACUGGCAGAGCACCUACUAGGUGGUGGAGCACCUACUAGGUGGUGAACCUUGCACUGCCUGCCAGGGGAACAUGGAAGAAGCCAUCCAGGGAGCUCACGUCCCAGAGCCAUGCAGGCAGAGGAGACUGGACCAUAUUGUCAGAUGGUACCCGGAAGAAUGGAAAGCAGCGUCUCAAAGAGACAUCUCUACACCACGCUCAGAGCACCGUGAUUCACAGUGGCUGAAAGGCAGAAACGAGUCAAGUGUCCAACGAUGGAUGCACGGGGAGAACAAAACGUGACCGAGCCAUACGAUAGAGUAUCACGCAGCCCUAAAAAAGAAGGAAGUUCCAACACACGCUGCGACGUGGAUGAACGUUGAGGACAUUAUGCGAAGUGAAAUGAACCCGUCACAAAAGGACACACACUGCAUGACUUCACUCGCAUGAGGUCCCUAGAGUCAUCAAACUCAGAGACGGAAAGCAGAAUGGUGGCUGCAGGCGCCGCGGUGGCGGGGGGCGGCGGGGGAGAAGCCUGGGGAGAUCGUGUUUAAUGUGGACAGGGUUUCAGUUUGGGGAGAUGGAAAAGUUCCGGAGGUGGAUGGUGGGGACGGUUACUUAUGCCUCUCCACCUCACACCAAUGGUUAAAAUGGCAAAUAUUAUGUUAUG